AGUGAACGCUGGCGGUAGGCCUAACACAUGCAAGUCGAACGGCAGCACAGUAAGAGCUUGCUCUUACGGGUGGCGAGUGGCGGACGAGUGAGGAAUACAUCGGAAUCUACUUUUUCGUGGGGGAUAACGUAGGGAAACUUACGCUAAUACCGCAUACGACCUACGGGUGAAAGCAGGGGAUCUUCGGACCUUGCGCGAUUGGAUGAGCCGAUGUCGGAUUAGCUAGUUGGCGGGGUAAAGGCCCACCAAGGCGACGAUCCGUAGCUGGUCUGAGAGGAUGAUCAGCCACACUGGAACUGAGACACGGUCCAGACUCCUACGGGAGGCAGCAGUGGGGAAUAUUGGACAAUGGGCGCAAGCCUGAUCCAGCCAUACCGCGUGGGUGAAGAAGGCCUUCGGGUUGUAAAGCCCUUUUGUUGGGAAAGAAAAGCAGCAGGUUAAUACCCCGCUGUUCUGACGGUACCCAAAGAAUAAGCACCGGCUAACUUCGU
rnacentral:rRNA from 1 species